AGCAGCCGCGGUAAUUCCAGCUCCAAUAGCGUAUAUUAAAGUUGUUGCAGUUAAAAAGCUCGUAGUUGAAUUUCGGGAUCAGUACGCUGGUCGUGCCUUUGGUAUGUACUGGUGUCACUGAUUCCUCCCUUCUGAAGAACCGUUAUGCCAUUUAUUUGGUGUGGCGGGGAAUCAGGACUGUUACUUUGAAAAAUUAGAGUGUUUAAAGCAGGCUCGCGCUUGAAUACAUUAGCAUGGAAUAAUGAAAUAGGACGUUUGAUCUUAUUUUGUUGGUUUCUAGGAUCGACGUAAUGAUUAAUAGGGAUAGUUGGGGGCAUUAGUAUUCAAUUGUCAGAGGUGAAAUUCUUGGAUUUAUUGAAGACUAACUACUGCGAAAAGCAUUUGCCAAGGAUGUUUUCAUUAAUCAAGAACGAAAGUUAGGGGAUCGAAGACGAUCAGAUACCGUCGUAG
rnacentral:rRNA from 1 species